rnacentral:rRNA from 1 species
UGGGGGAUAUUACACAAUGGGGGAAACCCUGAUGCAGCGACGCCGCGUGGAGGAAGAAGGUUUUCGGAUUGUAAACUCCUGUCGUUAGGGACGAUAAUGACGGUACCUAACAAGAAAGCACCGGCUAACUACGUGCCAGCAGCCGCGGUAAAACGUAGGGUGCAAGCGUUGUCCGGAAUUACUGGGUGUAAAGGGAGCGCAGGCGGACCGGCAAGUUGGAAGUGAAAACUAUGGGCUUAACCCAUAAAUUGCUUUCAAAACUGCUGGCCUUGAGUAGUGCAGAGGUAGGUGGAAUUCCCGGUGUAGCGGUGGAAUGCGUAGAUAUCGGGAGGAACACCAGUGGCGAAGGC